UACGGAGGGUGCAAGCGUUAUCCGGAUUCACUGGGUUUAAAGGGUGCGUAGGAGGGCAGGUAAGUCAGUGGUGAAAUCUUCGAGCUUAACUCGGAAACUGCCGUUGAUACUAUCUGUCUUGAAUACCGUGGAGAUGAGCGGAAUAUGUCAUGUAGCGGUGAAAUGCUUAGAUAUGACAUAGAACACCAAUUGCGAAGGCAGCUCGUUACACGAAUAUUGACUCUGAGGCACGAAAGCGUGGGGAUCAGACAGG
rnacentral:rRNA from 1 species